rnacentral:rRNA from 1 species
GAUGAACGCUGGCGGCGUGCCUAAUACAUGCAAGUCGAGCGAACAGACGAGGAGCUUGCUCCUCUGACGUUAGCGGCGGACGGGUGAGAAACACGUGGAUAACCUACCUAUAAGACUGGGAUAACUUCGGGAAACCGGAGCUAAUACCGGAUAACAUGUUGAACCGCAUGGUUCAACAGUGAAAGACGGUUUUGCUGUCACUUAUAGAUGGAUCCGCGCCGCAUUAGCUAGUUGGUAAGGUAACGGCUUACCAAGGCAACGAUGCGUAGCCGACCUGAGAGGGUGAUCGGCCACACUGGAACUGAGACACGGUCCAGACUCCUACGGGAGGCAGCAGUAGGGAAUCUUCCGCAAUGGGCGAAAGCCUGACGGAGCAACGCCGCGUGAGUGAAGAAGGUCUUCGGAUCGUAAAACUCUGUUAUUAGGGAAGAACAAAUGUGUAAGUAACUAUGCACGUCUUGACGGUACCUAAUCAGAAAGCCACGGCUAACUACGUG